rnacentral:piRNA from 1 species
UCCUCAGUCUUUUGUUGGGACCCUGAUGUC